rnacentral:rRNA from 1 species
ACCUACGGGGCGCAGCAGUAGGGAAUUUUCGUCAAUGGGCGCAAGCCUGAACGAGCAAUGCCGCGUGAACGAGGAAGGUCUUCGGAUCGUAAAGUUCUGUUGAAGGGGAAAAAGAGCGGAGAGAGGAAAUGGUCUCCGAUUGAUAUUACCCUUCGAGGAAGUCACGGCUAACUACGUGCCAGCAGCCGCGGUAAUACGUAGGUGGCGAGCGUUAUCCGGAAUGAUUGGGCGUAAAGGGUGCGUAGGCGGCCUGCUAAGUCUGGAGUGGAUGGUACCGGCUCAACCGGUACAGGCUCUGGAAACUG